UGGCUCGUCGUCCAACGGUCAGGGCAGCGGUCUGAUAAGCCGCAAACCAGGGUUCAACUCCCUGCGAGCCAA
rnacentral:tRNA from 1 species